GGGGACUGUCAGGGGACAGGUCUGUACCACGGUUUGUUUGUGUCAAAGUCCAAAAAAGCCUGACUGUGAGAGGGGAUCUCAGGACAGCACACUGGCAGGGAGCCAAGAGGAGCGUGUCAGUGGCUGUGUGUUGUAAACCAGCAGCAAUCCUUCUGCCACCGUGGAUUGCAAAAACAGCAGCACUGCCAAUGUUUAUGUGACUCUGGCAUCCUGACUGAGAAUCUUUUAGUUACAUCACAGGGGAGAAGCUGCAGCCCUGAGGGCAGCUGUAGAAAGUCCAGGUGCUGUGCUACUGCUGAUCCCUCCUGCUCCUAAGCCAGAGCCCUGCACCAUCUCUCAGUUCUUUCAUCUGUGGAAGGAGGUGCUGAAAAUGAGUUGCUUUGCACCA
rnacentral:lncRNA from 1 species